rnacentral:lncRNA from 1 species
CUGUGUCUAGACCCUGGUAGCUGACUUCUAAGCGUUCACUUUUCUUAAACGACGCUUUCAUGAGUUCAAGGCUCUUUUUAAGCUGCUCCUUUUCGCUCUCCAGCUCCUUAUUUUCUAACUGUAACUGUGCCAUUUUAAUGCUUGUGCACUUUGAAGAUUCAAUUCUUCUUCUUAACUCUAAAUUUUCUUCAUCAAGUUGGGAGUUUUCCUUUUCCAAGGACUCUAGUUGAAACGAGAGGUUUUUCAGACUAUCCAAAGUUUUUUUCAGCUUUCUGUUUUCUAUGUCCAGGUCUGAGUUCUCUUUCUCUAAGGCCUCUAUCUUCUCACAAGUGAUACUUAAGUUAGCAAUUUUUUUCUGUAAUAAUUCAUUUUCCUUCUCCAGAUGAUGCAGCUCAUUCUCAAGUUCUUCUGCUCUCUCUGCUUUCUCUUUAUAGUGUUCCAUUUCCUUCCUGACUUGUUUUAUUUCAAAUUCAAGCUUAUUUAACUUACUGCUGGUUUCCUUAAUAGACUCGUGAAGAAUUUUGUUUUCUUUUUCAAUUUCUUUCAUUUGCGCUUCAGCACUGAUUUGUGAGCGUUGUCUUAAAGAAGCUAUGGUUUGAUUCGAACGUUCAUUUUCUUGUUCUAAUAGUUUAAUUUGUCUUUCUAAGUUUUCUCGAAGUGUUUCAAAUUUCUUUUCAAGUUGUUCUUUUUCUUUCAUCAAAUCCUUACUCAAAUUUUGAUUGUCCUGAAGACUCUGUUUCUCUUGGACAAUUUCCUUUUCCAGUUCCUCAAUCUUUUUGUUUAGUCUUUGGUUUUCUUUUUCCAUUUUCACAAUCCUUGAACUAUUGCCUCCUACAGAAUCAUCCAUUGUACUUCGUAGUUCUUCCACUGUUUUCAGCAAACUUUGGUUUUCCUUUUCCAAUUUCAGUAAUCUGCUUGAUGUCAGUUCAGUUACUUCAAGACCAAGUGAUUUAUGUGACACUUCAGAAUGGUCAGUAAACCUGUUUAUCUGCUCAAGUUCCCAGCCGAGAUGUAGUGAUUCAUCCAUACUUUGUUUCUGAGCCAUUUCUAGAGCCAUGUUCUCCUCCAUAAGCUCCUCAAUCUUCUUUCUGUCCAUAUCACGCUCCAUCUCCAUUUCAUGUAGUUUAGCUUUUAAUUGUAGAUUCUCUUUUUCUACCACAUGUAAUUUAUCAGAACGGCAUUGCAACGUCUUUACUUGGUCCUCAAACAUUCUCUUUGUUUCUAGCAUCACUUGAUUGUCUUCCAUUAACUCCUCCACUCUAGCUUUGUAGAAUUCCAUAUCAUGCAGUCUCUCUUUGUACCGGCCGACUUCACUUUCAAGCUUGUCAACUCGAAUUGCCUUCUCACGAAGAAUAUCUAAUUCGUCUCUAUAAACUCUGGCAGAACGGGCAUCUGAGAGUAAAUUCUUAUUCUCUUGCUGAAGCCUCCUUAGUUCAGUUUCCACCCGUUCGAGUUCUUGCUUAUAGUCAAGAAACUGCUCAUUCUUCUCCUC